GAUGAAGAACGCAGCGAAAUGCGAUAAGUAAUGCGAAUUGCAGAAUUCCAGUGAGUCAUCGAAUCUUUGAACGCACAUUGCGCCCUUUGGUAUUCCGAAGGGCAUGCCUGUUCGAGCGUCAUUAUCACCCCUCAAGCCCUCGGCUUGGUGUUGGACGGUUUGGUGGAGGCCCCCUCGGGGGUUCCUGCCCCUCCCAAAGACAAUGACGGCGGCCUCGUUGGACCCCCGGUACACUGAGUUCUUCACGGGACACGUAUCGGACACAUGGGUUUACGGGACACGGUCUGCCUCCCCUCAGGGAGAAUCUUUCUAAGGUUGACCUCGGAUCAGGUAGGGAUACCCGCUGAACUUAAGCAUAUCAAUAAGAGGAGGA
rnacentral:misc_RNA from 1 species